rfam:Schistosoma rodhaini strain Burundi genome assembly, scaffold: SROB_scaffold0004963
AUCCAGUUGACGAGUCCCAAAUAGGACGAAACACGCGUCCUGGAU